rnacentral:lncRNA from 1 species
UAUUUUUCUCGAUUUAUAAAAUAUAAAAAGGCACAAAUAUCCUCAAAAUAAUAUGUAAUAAGCCCAAUUGUCCCGGGCCCGCACAAAACAAAGUAGGCAGUCUGUUUUUUGUAAUAACAGGCCUAAACCCAUCUAAGGCCCAAUUUUUUACAAGCCCAACAAGUAGCCCAUAACAUUUUCAGCAGAAAAAACAAAAAAACCAAGUGCAGCAAGCUUGACGCCGCAGCGUCGCUCCCACGCGCAGCAAGUCCCCACCUUCGGCAGUCCCAAGCACCGCACGUCUCGGAGACCGACUCCCCACGCGCACCGUGCUCUCCGCAACGAACCUGCAAACACGGAUUCAAAGAAUCCGAAAGAGGAAAAAUAGCAAAGAAUAACAAAAUAGAUAGUUUUUAUUUUGUACAUUUCGGCUAUAAAAGGGUUGAUUUUAAUCUGUAAAAGGGAUUUUUUUUUGAGUUUAACGUACGAGAAUAGAGGAAAAACACAAGGAAUACAGAUGAAAUAGGAAUAUAAAAUCUGUUUUUACAAAGGUUUUUUUCUUUUUGUUUUACUUUCCAGUGCCCAUUCUUUCUAUUUACAUAUAUAUCUUUUUUUAUUUCUUUCUAUUUUCAUUUUACUUCAUUUAACAUAUAAAGAAAAUGGAAGGACUUACCUUACUCAUCGGAGUCGCUGAGUCGACGCCACCUCCGUCGCAAUCGAGGUCGGGGCGUAGGCGGAGGCCAAGGGACGGCCUUGACUGAGAGCGGCGGCAGAGAAAACAAAGAAAACCCUAGUUAGGGUUGUUUGUUUUUUU